rnacentral:lncRNA from 1 species
UAAGGCCACGGUUUUUUAAUUUGAUGGUUUACGGAUUUUCCCCAUGAAAAAGUCGGGUCGGUCGGUGGGGAAAAAAAAAAAAAAAAAAAUAAUAUCUUUGAAGACAGAAAAAUAUGCAAAAUCAAUAUAUAUUUCACCUUUCUAACAAUAUGUUUGUUAUGCUAUUUUAUCAUCAUUUCUUAAAUUUUAGUUCGAUGAAAUAUUAUUGCUCAAAUGUUAUAAACAUCGCAUGACAUUGUCUAAUAAAUUACAGUAAAAAAAGGGGGGUGCACGGAC